rnacentral:rRNA from 1 species
GUUUACAGCCAUGCCACCCUGAACAAGCCCGAUGUCUGAUCUCAGAAGCUAAGCAAGGAUGGGCCUGGGUAGUACUUGGACAGGAGGCCACCUAGGAAGACAAGGUGCUGUAGGUG